GAUUCCACUAAUGGAAAGUUUUGGAACAGAACUGAACAGAAGAUAUUGCCAUGGUUUGCUCAAAAAUGAGACAGAACAUUUUCAUUACUCCUGAGGGACAUUUAUUGAGAACAGGCAAAAGGGAGAACAUAUAUCUGUAGGUCAGGUAAAGAGGGUCUGAAGAACAACUACAUCAACAAGGAAGCAACGCAGAAACAGAAACCUGAAUCAAUAUUCAGUCAAGCCCAUUAAUUAUGCAACUCAUUUAGUACUGAUGAAGCUAUGAGAGCGGUAGCAGCAGCGUAGGAGGAAAGCAGGGUGCGGUGGCAGCAUCAUGACCUGCACGUAAAGGAAUUCAGCCCCUGACACAGAGAGUGGGUAUAGCAGCGUGCACUGUCCUGCAGGAGCCAGACGCAGCCUACAUAUACACACCUAUAUGCACGCCAUCACAUGGAUUG